GAUACGUCGAACAUCUGAGUGAUAAGUAACGUCAAACGUGGAACGUAGAUCCCGGAAUUUUAUUUAACUUUAUUAUUUCGAAUCUACGAACAUUACUUUCGUGGGAAUAGUUUUUGUUGUUGUUACGUAUAAUUUAGUCUAAAUAUCGAGAGUGACAAAAGGCUUCGUUAUGGUAGCAUCAAAGUCCGUCAUAUCGGGAAAACGAUUUCAAGGCUAUGGGCACACAGCUGUGCUGAUCGUUUUAUUUAGUUGAGACGAUCUGUAGAAAAUUCACGGAUCUCGAGGAUAGCGUGGCCACAACAUCGCAGGACAACCCCAUGGGGGGAGAGCCUUCACUUCCUCGACCUCCUCUUGUCCGUCUGAUGGAGCUGGACCCACCCACACUGCAGCGGUCGCCGCCUUCUUUAUCAGGUUCAUGACAUCAGGAGGUGGACGCUUAUCCUUCUGGUUAUUUUCUGGGUGCAUUUCUGUCAGAGUGAAAACUCUCAACAUCUUGCUCAUUAUGGAGUGAUGCUGACUCAGUUUUUCAGGAUGGUAAAUGGGAAGUUGCAGUACAGAAAACGGCCCAGAGAUCACCAGUGUGUGCAUGUGUGUAGUGAGUGAAGUGUUAUGAAACAAUAUGUGUAUAGUGUGUGCUGUGACUGAUAGUGAGAUAUGAGUGAACAAUGUGGCAUUACAUUAUUUAAUAAGUUAUUUGUAAAAAAAGUAUUGUAUACCUGGAGUAAAUCUAAUGAUUGUCUCUAACCAGAAGUCUGUAAAUACAUUUGUAUAUGAAUUAGCUUAUUUUAAAUUGAUCUAAAUUUGUAAA